AGCCUUUUGUAUCCGUGCUGAGAUUUCAACACACAUUAGACCACAAGUGCUGAUGAGACUUCCCAGAUAUGUGAAGCG
rnacentral:pre_miRNA from 1 species